rnacentral:rRNA from 1 species
UGGGGAAUUUUGGACAAUGGGGGAAACCCUGAUCCAGCCAUCCCGCGUGUGCGAUGAAGGCCGUCGGGUUGUAAAGCACUUUUGGCAGGAAAGAAACGUCAUGGGUUAAUACCCCGUGAAACUGACGGUACCUGCAGAAUAAGCACCGGCUAACUACGUGCCAGCAGCCGCGGUAAUACGUAGGGUGCAAGCGUUAAUCGGAAUUACUGGGCGUAAAGCGGGCGCAGGCGGUUCGGAAAGAAAGAUGUGAAAUCCCAGAGCUCAACUUUGGAACUGCAUUUUUAACUACCGGUCUAUAGUGUGUCAGAGGGAGGUGGAAUUCCGCGUGUAGCAGUGAAAUGCGUAGAUAUGCGGAGGAACACCGAUGGCGAAGGCACCCUCCUGAGAUAACACUGACGCUCAUGCACGAAAGCGUGGGGAGCAAACAGG